rnacentral:rRNA from 1 species
AGUGAACGCUGGCGGUAGGCCUAACACAUGCAAGUCGAACGGCAGCACAGUAAGAGCUUGCUCUUACGGGUGGCGAGUGGCGGACGGGUGAGGAAUACAUCGGAAUCUACUUUUUCGUGGGGGAUAACGUAGAGAAACUUACGCUAAUACCGCAUACGACCUACGGGUGAAAGCAGGGGAUCUUCGGACCUUGCGCGACUGAAUGAGCCGAUGUCGGAUUAGCUAGUUGGCGGGGUAAAGGCCCACCAAGGCGACGAUCCGUAGCUGGUCUGAGAGGAUGAUCAGCCACACUGGAACUGAGACACGGUCCAGACUCCUACGGGAGGCAGCAGUGGGGAAUAUUGGACAAUGGGCGCAAGCCUGAUCCAGCCAUACCGCGUGGGUGAAGAAGGCCUUCGGGUUGUAAAGCCCUUUUGUUGGGAAAGAAAAGCAGCAGGUUAAUACCCCGCUGUUCUGACGGUACCCAAAGAAUAAGCACCGGCUAACUUCGUG